CCGUAGCCCAAGAGAUCGGGAUAACACCUGGAAACAGAUGCUAAUACCGGAUAACAAACAGAUGAUGCCUAUCAACUGUUUAAAAGAUGGUUCUGCUAUCACUCUUGGAUGGACCUGCGGUGCAUUAGCUAGUUGGUAGGGUAACGGCCUACCAAGGCGAUGAUGCAUAGCCGAGUUGAGAGACUGAUCGGCCACAUUGGGACUGAGACACGGCCCAAACUCCUACGGGAGGCAGCAGCC
rnacentral:rRNA from 1 species